GAGGGUAUAGCUCAAGUGGUAAAGUGCGUGCUUAGCAUGCAUGAGGUCCUGGGUUCAAUCCCCAGUACCUCCU
rnacentral:tRNA from 1 species